rnacentral:rRNA from 1 species
CCUACGGGUGGCAGCAGUGAGGAAUAUUGGUCAAUGGACGAGAGUCUGAACCAGCCAAGUAGCGUGAAGGAUGACUGCCCUAUGGGUUGUAAACUUCUUUUAUAUGGGAAUAAAAUGUUCCACGUGUGGGAUUUUGUAUGUACCAUAUGAAUAAGGAUCGGCUAACUCCGUGCCAGAAGCCGCGGUAUAACGGGGGAUCCGAGCGUUAUCCGGAUUUAUGGGGUUUAACGGGAGGGUAGGUGGUUUGUUAAGUCAGUUGGGAAAGUUUGCGGCUCAACCGUAAAAGUGCAGUUGGAACGGGUAGUCAUAGGGAGAGUAGAGGGGGGCGGAAUCCGUGUGUAGCGGUGAAAUGCUUAGAUAUCACGAAGAACUCCGAUUGCGAAGGCAGCUUACUGGACUGCAACUGACACUGAGGCUCGAAAGUGUGGGUAUCAAACAGGAUUAGAUACCCGGGUAGUC